rnacentral:other from 1 species
AAUUCCCUGCUGUGUUUGUGUGGGCGAAGAUCAUUUUUUGCCAACACUUUGAGCCCGGAGAUCCAAACGCUGGUUUAGGAUGCCAUGCCUGGCUAUGCCGGGAAGGUUGAGAAAGCCGCUGGGAUUUCCACCUUGUUGAUUUGGGCUUAAAAAGGUCCUUCCUUCACGGCACUUUAGUGGGGAAUUU